AUUGAACGCUGGCGGCAGGCCUAACACAUGCAAGUCGAGCGAGUGGCGGACGGGUGAGUAAUGUAUGGGGAUCUGCCUGAUAGAGGGGGAUAACUACUGGAAACGGUGGCUAAUACCGCAUACCAUCAGAUGAACCCAUAUGGGAUUAGCUUGUUGGUGGGGUAAAGGCUCACCUAGGCGACGAUCUCUAGCUGGUCUGAGAGGAUGAUCAGCCACACUGGAACUGAGAAACGGCCCAGACUCCUACGGGAGGCAGCAGUGGGGAAUAUUGCACAAUGGGCGCAAGCCUGAUGCAGCCAUGCCGCGUGUAUGAAGAAGGCCUUCGGGUUGUAAAGUACUUUCAGCGGGGAGGCGUUACCCGCAGAAGAAGCACCGGCUAACUCCGUGCCAGCAGCCGCGGUAAUUC
rnacentral:rRNA from 1 species